AUACUUACCUCGCAGGGGCGAUUACAUGAUCAUGAAGGUGGUUUCCCAGGGUGAGACUCGCCCAUUGCACCCCGGUCGUGCUGACCCCUGCGAUUUUCCCAAAUGUGGGAAACUCGACUGCAUAAUUUAUGGUAGUGGGGGACUGCGUUUGCGCUCUCCCCAC